ensembl:lncRNA
UCUCCCCACCUUGAGUCCCAACUCCCAACCUCAGAUAACGUCAGUGCUUGACUUGGGCAGGAGCUAAGUACCGGCACCUCAAAUGUUCUAUUGCUUGAGCUCAUGUUCCUCUUACAGAAUAUUAGCUCAAAAGUAUUGUGGAGCUCCUGCACCUAAAUAUAAACAGUAACGGCACCCAACUAGAGUACAUAGCGUGUUUUCCUUUGAGAUGGGUAUCGACAUUGCAUUACUCCUACAUCUACAUCUGAUUUUAGACUAGACUACAUUGACAACUAAACAAUCACACUGUCACAUAAUUAUUCUACCAGUAUCAUUCAUAUUCAUAUAGUAUGAAAUCCAUCAGCCAAUAGAGCAUUUGUCUCUGUAUCAAUUUACAUAUGCAUUGUCACAACAUGUGGCAUGAAUUCCCUGUACUGUAUUCCUAUUCAAAUUCAAUCAAACCAUGAUUAUUACCAAAGCCACCUUAUUGCCAUGCUGCUAUAUGCAGGUUUGUGGCUUAGCUCCCUUUAAGCAAAUAUUUAUCCCAGCCAAGAUGACUGUAUUGCAGUUUGUGAUUAUAUAUGGGCUUGUGAGAGGAGUGUGUCAACUGUGCAUGAUACACAAUGUGCCUGGAGAGAUUGAUAUUUUGUCAUCCACCUGCUUCAAAGCUGUAAAACCCAGCAGGCAGCAGCAAACGGAGAGACCUUCCGAGGCUGGAAAACCCAAACAAAGAGAGACCUUACUGGUGCUGUUUACACAUCUUUGUGGAGGAGUAUGUGGGCUUGUGUGUUUUGAUGCCACGCUCAAAUGGCUGAAGGGUUCCUGUCUCAGUGAAACGGAAGAUGGAGAGGAGUUGGAUGCUGGAGAGUGAGUGAGCGAGCCCUGGUGAGCCCUGGACGGAGGGAUCUGCAGGAGGAGAGGAAAGAGGGAUGCGAGUUGGGAGAGUAAUGUGGAGAGAGACAGAAAGUAGAGACAGAGAAAAGAGAGAGAGAGCAGGAGGAAAUUGGGGAAUUUAAACAGUGUGUGUUAUCUUAAGUGUUUUAUUUAUGUUGAACAGUUCCGGGAGAGGCUUGGAUUCCUGCUGAAAGAGGGCAUGCUGUCUCUGUAGUGUAGUGUAGAUGACUGAGAUUUCUUUGAUCACCUUGGUAACCCUCUCCCAAUAGGACUGCUGCUGGUGAAUUGUUGCUGAUCUCAGAUCAGAAUUUGGCUGGUCUGACUGUGUAGUUUAUUGUCUACUGGAUGUGGUCAUGGCUGCUUGGAGGUCAGUUCAUUAGCACUCAGUCUGUCCUCAAGCACAAGUGGAUAGAGAGACAUGUGAAUAUUCCACAGGUUACAUGAAUUAGUUAGUUUCUGGGAUUGGUAGAAGAAAAUGCUUCCCAUUGUUGUGUUUGUGAUCCAUUUUCAGAUUAACAAAAUCAUAUCAUUCGUUGGUAUAUUAUCAGUCAGCUACCUAAAAACAUUGAAAGUUUUACUUUUAUUUUAAUUUGCAUCUACAAUUAACAUUUUUUGAAUGAUUUGUCACUUGCUUGAGUUAAUUCUAUAAUACAUUUGAUUGGCGUCUAAUCUUGUUGGGGUAAGGGACAUGUUGCAGUGAGGAGAGCGUUGCAGUUGCACAUGCCGACCAAAAGAGGGCAACAUGAUGUCAGAAUUCCUGUUCUGGGUCCUCAAUGGGAUUGUAGGUGUCAGGUUAAACGUGUAAGUAACAAUAAUUUACAUUUACGCUGGAACGGUUUCCCCCGCGCUGUCAGUCUGCAGUUCAAAGCGCCUUCCAUCCUCCUGGCAACAAAGCAUCGCAUUGUCACAUGGCGGAGAUAGCAAGCUUGGGAUGAAGUUCUUCACAGUCCAGGUGUCAUUAUGAAAGACCUUGCCUUGCCGUGGAAGCGAAUCAAAACAAAGGGGAAAUUAAAUGUGCUACUCUCUUCCUCCUGGAACCAUCGCGGCUGCCUGGCUGGGCCUCAGCCAAGGACGUCUGGAUGUGAAAGGAACCACCUUAUAUUGUCUUACUUUUAUUUCUCUUCUCGUCUGAGUUUCAGGUUUUGUGAUGAUCAUAUUUAAGAUGUGUCAUUAUCUUUAUCAUUGUUGUUCAUGGAAGCUCUGAGAAAUUGGAGAAAUCUCCAAGUCUUCUACAAAAUUUCUGCUUUUACAAAACACAACACAUUCAGAUUAGAGCAGUCCAGUUGAUGUGAUCUUUGAUUGGUACAGUUGUGGUCUGAUUGCUAAAGAAUGUUAGGAUAUAAUGGUGAGAAUAGUUUUAUUGAUGUCCAUCAACACGCCCCCUUAGUGAAAUUGUUUUUCGCAGACUACUAUCCCUCUAUAUCAUGAAACCUCUUACCACAGUGGUUAGAGCAUUGGACCAGUAACCAAAAGGUUGCUGGAUCAAAUCCUCGAGCUGACAAGGUAAAAAUAUCUUGUUCUACCCCUGAGCACGGAAGUUAACCCACUGUUCCCCGGGCGCAGAAGACGUGGAUGUCGAUUAUGGCAGCCCCCCGCACCUCUCUGAUUCAGAGGGGUUGGGUUAAACGUGGAAGACACAUUUCAAUUGAAUGCAUUCAGUUGUACAACUGACUAGGUAUCCCCCUUUCCCUUCUUCCCUCCUCCUUGGGGGAGAGUGAUAGCCCUCUUUGUCACAGUGCUCUGCCUUUGUUCCCUGCCAGGGGCUGCCUGCUGGAAACACGGUGGCAGGGUCAGUGGUAGUUCGAUAUCUGGCCAGAAGAGGGUAAGGUGCCCUGGCAUGGGGAGGUACUGUAGUUCAAGAGAGAAAUGGUACAGUAGUGGUAUGACAUUUUACAAACCACAGGCAUGUUCUGACUAGAACAUGCAAAGAAAACAUCAGGCAACAUGUACAAUAUAUAUAUUUUUAAAUUAAAUUCCUUAUUAUGGUUAUAAUUAUGAUUAUUAAAUGAUGAUUAUUAAAGGUAUU